rnacentral:tRNA from 1 species
CGGGAUGUAGCUCAGCCUGGUAGAGCACUGUCUUCGGGAGGCAGGGGUCGUAGGUUCAAAUCCUGUCAUCCCGA